rnacentral:rRNA from 1 species
GUACGUAGGGUGCAAGGCGUUGUCCGGAAUUAUUGGGCGUAAAGAGCUCGUAGGCGGUCUGUCGCGUCUGCUGUGAAAACCUAGGGCUUAACUCUGGGCGUGCAGUGGGUACGGGCAGGCUAGAGUGCGGUAGGGGGAGACUGGAAUUCCUGGUGUAGCGGUGAAAUGCGCAGAUAUCAGGAGGAACACCGGUGGCGAAGGCGGGUCUCUGGGCAUUACCUGACGCUGAGGAGCGAAAGUGUGGGGAGCGAACAGG